CAGAGAGGAGAGCAGCCUGCCAUGACUCCCGAGGCUUCCAACUCAAGACUUGGGUUGGGGGUGCUGAGCCCCUUUCUCCCUUUUACAUUUCCCUACCCACAGACCUGAGCGGCCAUGGGAGGUUGGGGUUGGCAUUUGCCUGGGGGAGUUUCUGAGCGAGCAGCACCUGCUGCCUUGGUGGAACCCAUUGCUGGGAGUGGCCAGGGCUCAGCACCAGUGCUCAGCAGAUGCUCAGUGCGUUUUGCUGAGUUUGCUGAGGGAAGACUGUUUUCUUUUCUCUCUCACACACACAGAGUGGAUGAGGAUGAGGAUGACCUGGAGGAAGAACACGUAACUAAGAUUUAUUACUGUAGUCGGACACACUCCCAGCUGGCCCAGUUUGUGCAUGAGGUGAAGAAGAGCCCCUUUGGCAAGGAUGUUCGGCUGGUCUCCCUCGGCUCCCGGCAGGUAAACAGUAGCCAGUGUUUCCACCAGGGGCCAUCCUGCUCCUUUCCCCACAACUUUGUCCUCCUUGUCCAGGCCUGGGAGACGCUGGGCCUGCGACAGGCUGAACUGUGUGAGGAGCAGCCCCCUCCCUGGCCUGGCCGGCCCAUCACUGGAAGGCAAAGGAGAGGUGGCGGAGCAGGUCCAUGUGUGUUGGUAGGAUGUCAUUUACCCGGCACCAUCUCUUUGCCUCUUUCUUUCUCCUUUGUUGCAGAACCUUUGUGUAAAUGAAGACGUGAAAAGCCUAGGUUCUGUGCAGCUUAUCAACGACCGCUGUGUGGACAUGCAGAGGAGCAGGCACGGUAGCCACCGGGACCAUGGUGUAGCCAUAGGCAGUCUGGAGAGAGUGAGGGGGGGUGGCAGUGACUGAAGACCAUUAAGUGUCUUGCAUAGAAAGAAUGGCAGAGGAGACCCCAGUUCCUUCCUGAGUCCCCUCUUCCUUGGGAAAAAGUGUUCCUACUCUCUGGGUCAGUGUCUGGUCCGAAUCCUUGGCUUGGAGAUGAUUUUACAGGCUCUUUCUGGAAAACAAAAGUAAAACCUUAUAGUGUUCUGAUGAGACCACAGUAGGCAGUAUUUGGGAGGGUCUUACAGACCCCACCCCAUGGAAGUGGGUCUCAACAUUACAGAACCCCCUCUCGGGCCCGUGGACAGUUGCUGUCUUCUCUGUUUUCUCUCUUUGUGCCUGUGCCACCCUCAGAGAAGAAAGGAGCUGAGGAGGAGAAGCCAAAGAGAAGGAGGCAGGAGAAGCAGGUGGCCUGCCCCUUCUACAACCAUGAGCAGAUGGGCCUCCUCCGGGACGAGGCCCUGGCAGAGGUGAAGGAUAUUGAGCAGCUGCUGGCCCUUGGGAAGGAGGCCCGUGCCUGUCCCUAUUACGGGAGCCGCCUUGCCAUCCCUGCAGCCCAGCUGGUGGUGCUGCCCUAUCAGAUGCUGCUGCAUGCGGCCACUCGGCAGGCUGCGGGCAUCCGGCUGCAGGACCAGGUGGUGAUCAUCGACGAGGCGCACAACCUGAUCGACACCAUCACGGGCAUGCACAGCGUGGAGGUCAGCGGCUCCCAGCUCUGCCAGGCCAUUCCCAGCUGCUGCAAUACAUGGAGCGAUACGGGAAGCGUUUGAAGGCCAAGAACCUGAUGUACCUGAAGCAGAUCCUAUAUUUGCUGGAGAAAUUCGUGGCCGUGCUGGGGGGUGAGAGUCCUGUCCCCCUGCUGACCCCCGGCCUGCAAAACCUGCCGGGCUGCUUUUUCCUUGGAUGCCCAUCAGGACGCCUCAGUUCUCUGUGUUUUUAAGAAGGGUUGGCCGGGCGUUGUGGCUCAUGCCUGUAAUCCCAGCACUUGGGAGGCCGAGGCGGGUGGUUCACCUGAAGUCAGGAGUUUAAGACCAGCCUGACCAACAUGGUGAAACCCCGUCUGUACUAAAAAUACAAAAAAAAAUUAGCCAGGAGUGUUGGUGUGGCCUGUAGUCCCAGCUACUCCAGAGGCUAAGGCAAGAGAAUUGCUUGCUCAAACCUGGGAGGCAGAGGUUGCAGUGAGCCGAGAUCGUGCCACUGCACUCCAGUCUGGGCAACAGAGUGAGAAUCCAGCUC
rnacentral:sRNA from 1 species